GCUGAAGGUAGACGCUUAACCCUCUGAGCCACCCAGGCAUCCCGGAAGACUUGUUUCUUGUCAGCAGUGGCACUUGGCCUUAAGCCUGGGUAGGAUUUGGGUGAGGGGGGUAGGGUAGAAAGGAAGAAGAGUGUGGGCAAAGACUCAGACUGGACAGAGCCAGAUUUGACUCUAUGGGGACAGUCAUUCUGCUCUUUGUUCCCACAGACUCAGGGCUCAAGCCCAGUGACACUAGAUCUCAUCAUUCCCUUCCUGAAGCCAGGGAGCUGUGUCCUGGUAAGGAAUCCUGCCCUCACUCUGUACACAGCCCCCUAGCAUCUACUCUACAGGUGGCAGAUGGGGCAAAUCCAGUCUGCAAAAAUGUUUGGUUUGGCCAGCACGGUGUUUGAAAUUGGAAUGAGUUGCUACCAUUUAAAUAUUGGAGAGGUCAUAUUUUAAAAAGCUGAUUUCUGGCUUCUCCUGGAAAAAUCAGAAAACCUGGUACUCUGUGUCCACAUUCAGGCAUGGUGACAAUGCGCUUGAGCUCAGUGGCAUCUGAUUACUUCAUUCAGGGCCUGUGCCUUCCCGGUCCUCAUGGACGCCCUGGCCAACUUCAAGUUUAUUUUUUGGGUUGCCACUCUUGACCUGUUGUGUGCCCAGCCAGAGCUGGACCAAACACAAACCCUGCGCUGGAGAAAUUCCCUAUCUAGGGGGACUCCCCUUCUCUGUCCCCACUCAACUUCCCCUGGGAGGAGGGGCUACCCUGGCUCACAGUGGGGGGGCUCUGUGCCCUCAGGUGUGGAGGUCAGAUGUUCAGUUUUCCUGGAAGCACCUCUUGUGUCCAGAUGUCUCUCGUAGACAUCUGGGGCUCUUGAUCCUGGCACUGCUGGCCCUCGCCACCCUGUUGGGCAUUGUUCUGGUCUUCACCCGCCGGCGCCCACUGUCAGGCCCUGGCCGAGCACAGCCGGUGUUGCUCCUGCACGUGGCGGACUCGGAGGCGCAGCGGCGCCUGGUGGGAGCGCUGGCUGAACUGCUGCGGACGGCGCUGGGCGGCGGGCGCGACGUGAUCGUGGACCUG